GAUGAACGCUGGCGGCGUGCCUAAUACAUGCAAGUCGAGCGAACAGACGAGGAGCUUGCUCCUCUGACGUUAGCGGCGGACGGGUGAGUAACACGUGGAUAACCUACCUAUAAGACUGGGAUAACUUCGGGGAACCGGAGCUAAUACCGGAUAAUAUAUUGAACCGCAUGGUUCAAUAGUGAAAGACGGUUUUGCUGUCACUUAUAGAUGGAUCCGCGCCGCAUUAGCUAGUUGGUAAGGUAACGGCUUACCAAGGCGACGAUGCGUAGCCGACCUGAGAGGGUGAUCGGCCACACUGGAACUGAGACACGGUCCAGACUCCUACGGGAGGCAGCAGUAGGGAAUCUUCCGCAGUGGGCGAAAGCCUGACGGAGCAACGCCGCGUGAGUGAUGAAGGUCUUCGGAUCGUAAAACUCUGUUAUUAGGGAAGAACAAAUGUGUAAGUAACUAUGCACGUCUUGACGGUACCGAAUCAGAAAGCCACGGCUAACUACGU
rnacentral:rRNA from 1 species